rnacentral:tRNA from 1 species
GGAGAGGUGGCCGAGCGGUUGAAGGCGCUCGUCUCGAAAACGAGUAGGCCCGCAAGGGUCUCGCGGGUUCGAAUCCCGCCCUCUCCGCCA